AGUAUCUGUAUGUGGUUCUAUUUACCUGUAACCUGCCUCCUGAGAUUUGUUUGGACUUUGGAUUUCCUGGCCUGUCCCUGAUCCGAUUGUUUGUCUGAGUGGGCUGCCUUCCCAGUUUUGACCCUGCCUGCCUCACAAUUCCAGUACCUAUCACUGGUGCCCUGCUGCAGUGCAUCCUUGUUGCAGUAUGGAUGGCCUUGUUGCAGUUCAUCUCCUGGAAGCGUCUCAGAGGUCGAGCUGUCUGCCUUCAGCUGCUACGUUUCCAAUCUUCAGGAGGCGAAGCACCUGUCCCCGUUUCACGACAUGUCCACUGGGGGCGCCGUGCAGCACAUCUGGACCGGUUGACCACUGCCAAGAAGCUUCAAAGAACCUGGCAUCCUUUGAUGCUCGAUCACAUUGUCUGUACCCCGCCAAGAAACAUCCAGUUUUUGGCUUCAGGUGCAAACACCAGACACGCCAGAGAAUGCAUCCAUAGCUGGGAGCAUGGGAGAGGUGGUCCCAGAAGCAGGAGGUGGAUGUCAUUGUGCUUGUUAGCUGACAUUAUUUACUGUAUUCCCUUUUCUGUUCGUACAAAAAUAAGGCAAGACAUAACUCAAGUCAUAGUGCUCUUCAAUUAUUUUGAACAAACUGUGAUACGUUUCCUGACAGAUGUAUGUGUUUAGAUAAAUUACAUAUAUAAAUGCAGCUUGUCUCAAAAUGUAAAUGGAUGGAAAGCCCACAGGAGUAUCAAUCUGUUUGUGCACACAUUUUAAACAGGAAUUUAAAGUAAGCUAUUAGCUAUAUCUGAUCUAGUGAACAUAUUGUGCUUUAUUC